rnacentral:misc_RNA from 1 species
UUACUGGUAAAUGAGUUUUGAAUUUUCAUUAGCCAUUUCGACGGAUAUUGUAUUUAUGCCUUUGAUAUGCUACCUGUUUGAAUGGCAAUGAUGAAUCGAGGGAUGUUCCGAAACAAUACAGGAAUCAAUCACGAUUUGUUAUGAAUAGCAGGAUUUUGUGAUAGCAGAUCGAAUGCGCGUGCCAAAGAAAAAACGAACCAAAAGAACGAGGAAACGAACGCAACCGAAACGAUGACAAAUAUAUUACAACAACGUGAGCGAUUAACUUGUUGGGGAUUAACAAUAGUUACUAUAGUCUCUGGAUUAGUUACUAUAGCAACGGCGUUGCCAAUGGCACCAUUUAUACGUGGAGACUUUGAACCAGAUAUUCCAUUGGAUUAUAAUGAACUGAAAAAGAUAGGAGGUGGAAAUACUGAAAUCGUGUUUAAACUCAUUAAGCAGAUUGCAACAGCGAUGCAUCACUGUGGGAUCAACGAAAAUAAUAAAGAGAUGGAGAGAACGUACCUCACUAAUACGUCAGUCACCUGUAACGACGGCUCUCGGGCAGGGUACUACAUAAGAAAAUCAGCAAAGAGUACAAGAUGGAUCGUGUUUCUAGAAGGUGGUUGGUGUUGUUUCGACCGAAACAGUUGCCAUGGACGAUGGAUCAACAUGAAGGGAUAUAUGAGCUCACUAAAGUGGCCAAAAACCAAAAAAGGCAAAGGAAUUCUUUCCUGGAACCCAGAAGAAAAUCCAGAGUUCUUCCAUGCCAAUAUGGUCUAUGUUCCUUACUGCUCAAGUGACUCAUGGAGCGGGAAUCUAAAGGCAGAGAAAAAAGGGGAUUUCUCCUUCAUGGGUUCUCUGAUCGUGGAAGAGGUGAUUAAAGACCUCCUCCCACAUGGCCUUCAACAUGCCAAGAAGCUGCUUCUCACAGGUAGCAGCGCUGGGGGCACAGGUGUGUUGGUCAAUCUCGACAAGAUCGCUGAUAUGUUGAAAAAGGUGGCGCCACAGGUUGACGUGCGUGGUGUGUCGGACUCGGGAUGGUUCCUGGAUAAUGAACCAUUCCGCACUGUUCCCUGUACAGAUGCCCAUCUCUGUACACCAGCGGAAACCAUAAAGAGAGGCAUAGCACAUUGGAACGGUCAGGUGCCCAAAGAUUGUGCAGCACAGUACCCAACCGAACAUUGGAGAUGUUACUUUGGAUACAGAAUGUAUCCAACAUUAAGAACACCAGUAUUCGUAGUGCAACAUCUUUUUGAUGAAGCCCAGAUCACAUUCAACAAUGUAGGGCCACCAGUGAAGAAAGAACAGUGGCAUUACAUUCACAAAGUGGGAGAAAAGAUAAAAAAUACUCUACUUAAUGUAUCUGCUGUAUUUGCCCCAGCAUGUCUUUCUCACAUUGUCCUGACUCGGAGUGACUGGAAAGAAGUUGCUAUUAAGGACAUAACACUACCUCAUGCUAUCAAAUGCUGGGAGGCUAGCAGUCAUGAGACUAACCAUUACAGAGGGAAACCCCACAAACAUCACAGUUUCAGCAAAAAAAUCAGGGACAAAAGUUUGGAUCUUCCUGAAGUGAUACAAGUCACGGGUGAUGAUCGCCUCAUUCUAGGUGAUGAUCCUAAGACUCUAAAACCAGAAACUGCCGAUACCACAAAAAUACACAUCAGGCCCCGGGGAAAUGGGGGUCGAGCAUGGCGGGGAAACAAAAGUGGUAAAGGUGGAAGGAAAAGAAAUAGGAAGAGGAAAAACAGGAGAAAGAAUAAAGAUAAAAAGCGUCAACGCCACAAGAGGUCUCUGUUCUUUAACCUCCACGAUGAGCACCAUGUGAGCAGCCACCAAGACACAUGUACCCACCAUCUCAUAGAUCAUUGUGCUUGGCCACAGUGUAAUUUAUCCUGCCCUAAACUACGGAAUCCAUUCACAGGGGAGGAAAUGGAUUUCAUUGACCUGCUAUUACAGUUUGGUCUAGAUUUAAACAGUAUCGCAAACGCACUAGGAAUAGAUUUACAUACUCUCAUGUCAAUGGAUCAUGACAAACUACUCAGGAUGCUUACCCAACAACAGUAGCAUGGAAACAUUAAAAUUGUUACUAUGGUAACUAGCCCUAUGCAGAAAAUCGUGUUAUGUUACUUCAGUAACAAGGCUCUUCCACAGAACAUUGAAUUGAUUCCAUAAAUAUUUUGUCACAACUGUAAUUUAAAUGUCUCCCAACUGUAUAUGUUGCUAUUGUAACAAGACUCUUUCAUUACAGUAGUAUCUAAAAUAUGCCAGAACCUCUAUGGUUGCCAACACAACUCAAAUGAACUAAAACGAUGCUUGUGACAUAACUGGAAAGAAACACAAUGCCCAAAAUAUUGGACUUGUUUAAACAGGGAAUUUGUAAUUAUCACAAAUGGUUACCAGAGUAACCACGAUUAGUUACAACUAUAUAUUACCAAGACAUUGUGCUUUGUUGCAUCGUGAUAAGGGAAAAUUAAGAACACGAAAGAGGAAACUUUAUUUUAGUGUAAAUAAUUAUUUUGUUGGAUUUGUUCACCAUGGCAACGUUAUUUAACUUAUAAUUACAUAUAACCAAUAUAUUAUGUUUUGCUACCUCUCUUAGAGGGAUAACUCAUACCAGAGAGAUCUAUUAAUCAAUGUGAGGGUUGAUUCUCAUCAGGAAAGGACUUGUGUAAAUAUUUUGUACAUAAAGAUAUUUAAUUAUUUGUAAAAUAAUAGAGCAUAUUUUAAUCACUUUUGAUAUCUACCUCACAGUAAACAUCAAUGUCAAAUUAGUUAUAUAAGAAUAGAUUUUGUGCCAAUACAGGUUUUCUGUUUCUUUGAGCAAUUUAAAACAAAAUGUGAUAUCGAGGAGGAUUUGAAGUAAUUAUUUCAUGUUGUGUAGAGUUUCAAUUAACCCAACACUGUUCUCUAUUAUUCCAGACAUUUUUUAUUUUGAGAGUUUUAUUCAUAUUUCUUGAGGUGUCUAUAUGUCUGAUAUUCAUAAUUAUUAUGUUCCAAUAAAGCCAUGAGUCCGUUUAUAAACACUCAUUUUGAUUCUUCAAAUUGCCAAAGAUAUCAACAUCUAAAUUUCAAACUUGAGAAUAAAUUGUAAGGGAAAUGUUUAUUAACAUUAGUUUAUGAAUGAGAUGAUCG